CCUACGGGAGGCUGCAGUGAGGAAUAUUGGUCAAUGGACGAGAGUCUGAACCAGCCAAGUAGCGUGAAGGAUGACUGCCCUAUGGGUUGUAAACUUCUUUUAUAUGGGAAUAAAACGUUCCACGUGUGGGAUUUUGUAUGUACCAUAUGAAUAAGGAUCGGCUAACUCCGUGCCAGCAGCCGCGGUAAUACGGAGGAUCCGAGCGUUAUCCGGAUUUAUUGGGUUUAAAGGGAGCGUAGGUGGAUUGUUAAGUCAGUUGUGAAAGUUUGCGGCUCAACCGUAAAAUUGCAGUUGAAACUGGCAGUCUUGAGUACAGUAGAGGUGGGCGGAAUUCGGGGUGUAGCGGUGAAAUGCUUAGAUAUCACGAAGAACUCCGAUUGCGAAGGCAGUUCACUGGACUGCAACUGACACUGAGGCUCGAAAGUGUGGGUAUCAAACAGGAUUAGAUACCCGGGUAGUC
rnacentral:rRNA from 1 species